AAGGGAGACCUAAUUCGGGUAUAAGACGAAAAAAAAGUAGUCGAAACCAAGAAUCAAUCCCAAAAGGUCGGAACGAGGUAUGAGGCUUUCAAACUAGGUUCUGGGUUCAUAAAAGACCUGAAUCAGGAACAAGGGCUAUUAGCUCAGGUGGUUAGAGCGCACCCCUGAUAAGGGUGAGGUCCCUGGUUCGAGUCCAGGAUGGCCCACCUGUACAGGUGGCAAAAACAAAGAAAAGAAGCGAGGAAUCAGCACCUUAUCUUACUUAUAUAGUAAGAGAGAAUGCUGGCUCUGAGUAAAGAGUCCAGAGGAACCUUGAAAACUGCAUAGAGCUAGGUGAAAAAGCCAAAAAAGAAGACCGCAA
rnacentral:tRNA from 1 species